GCAACCAGGCUGGGCCGGCCGGAGCCCGCGGGAGGCUGCAUCGGCCAGGCCCGGCCCCGCUCCCGAGCCCGAGCCAGCUUCUCCCCGGGGCUCUGUCCCCGCAGUGCUGGGCCGCGCCCCAUGGCCAGCGCCCCGUGGAGGGGCACCCCCAGGGCGCGGUGACUGAACGCGAGGGAGCUGCCAGGAGCACGAGCACUGUCCUUGGGCACUGGACUAUUAGCGUGGCCCAGCAGCACUCGGCCAGGCCUCCCUCCUACCAGAUCUGCACGGCCUGGGCUUGCACGGUGACACGCUGCCCUGGCCGGACGGAGCCGCACGCUUUCUAGGGACCGAGAUGGAGGGAGAAAAGCCCAAUUGUCAUUUGGAAAGGCUUGUGGCUUUAUAUGGGAACAAUGAGGGAGCACAGAACCCUACAAAUGUACAGGUGUUGCACCAGAAGCAAACUGAGGAAGCCCUGCAGUUUGUGCCUAGAGCCCAGCGGAGCACGCCAAGAGGUUAUGCGACUGACUGUCCACUGAUCCUCUGGAAACUCACUUAGCUGCGAGAGUCACACCAGGACCAUGCUGCGAGGAGAGCCCUGCGGAGUCUGAGCUGCCAUGGCUGAGCCACUGCUGUAGAACAGAGUCUGUGAGUGGCAGACGUCACUGCGGGUCUGCGCGGGGCAAAUAUCCUGCGCAUUGAGAGCGCUACGUGGAUGUGGGCGUUUUCUUUAGGAAAAACUGGAAAUUCCAGAUUAGAGCAACACCUAACCCCUCCCCUCCCCUGGCCCCCCAAAACCCACCACACCCACUUUUCAAAGCACAGAAAUGCCAAGGCAGGGUGCCUUGGGUGACCCCCUAACUUCCUGGCAUGAGCCAGCAACUCACAACCAGCCUCAUUCCCCAAACACAAGCCAGCUGCGGAUUCCCACUGCCGCAGCACGACUCUGGCCCAUGAGGCCCUAGAGACCCAGGCCUUUGCAAGCUCCAGAACCAUCUCUCCUCAAAGAAAUAACGCGCGCCAACUGGCACCCAGCUAGCGGGUCUCUGGGCAAGGCGGGGGUCCCGUGAUCGUGACUCGUCAGACAGACAGACAUCUCUAAAUGCUCCCACGUGCGAGACUCCACCCAAACAGCACAGGAACACGGGCUUCUCCACAUUGCAGGGCACCCUGAGGCCAGGUCAGCAGCAGAGAUCAAGUGUUUGAGUCCAGCCAGCCAAGGGGCAAAACCGCAGUUUUAGGAAACUCCUUUAUUGGAAAAGUCAGAACCCCACUUUUCUAGAGCCCAGCUAGCUCAGCUGCACUGGGCUGCUUUUCCUUCCCACCCUAGCCAGCCCCGGUGGCCCAGUCACAUCCUGGCUGAAUUAGGGGCACGCCCCAUAUUGGCUUUUUCACAACAGGUGAUUCCGCCUUAAUCACAGCGCCGCUCCCACAGCCGCCAAGCACUGCCCAGAGCAGCCCACCAGCGCCAUGCACCUGCAGGAAGAGCCCUCACCCUGCCUGACCAUCACUGCUGCAUUCCUGCACCAGGGGUCAUUCGAUUCCCCUAAACUCUCUUCCAUUUCAAACAAAACUCCUUCGCCCCCAUUGCAUUAGCUGGCUCUGGGCUUCCAGCCCAAUCAGUU